rnacentral:lncRNA from 1 species
ACGGGCUUAUUAAUCUAGAAUCAAUUUAGUUUGUGCAAAGGUUUAUUGUCCCUUCCAAUAUAAAACAAGGGCAAUAUAGGGAUAAAAAUUUCAUUAUUCAUUCCGCUCCGUUAAUUACCCAAACAAUGUAGUAGUAACUUUCUUCCGUUCCAUCAUAAAAUACCCAAACAAAGAAAUGAAGUUUUAAUUCUAUUCCGUUCCAUUAUAUUCCAUUCCGCUCCGUUAUGUUCCGUCAAUCCAAACAUAGCCUUAUUUGCCCAUAGUGGAGUUGUGUCUUUGGUCUGGACUCAGCAGUGGUUUAGAAUUUCCAGUGGAAUUAUUGAGGCUUAUUGUGUGAUUGAGACACAUGGAUUCACACUUAUAUGCUCUUUCGUUUUCUUCCUUCUCAACAACAAAAACAACAACUAUAAAUUUCAUCCUAUGCUAGUGCUUGUCAGAUUUUGUUUCUUUAUCUUAACG